ACCUCUCUUCCUCUCCAGGGAGCGGUGUAUUAAUGGAGGAGAGGGUGAGAGGGUUGGUGGAAGGGAAAUUUGCCUUGUUGAUUAAGCGAAGAAGAAGAUGAAUUUAGCUGAAUGCGCAAAUGGAAAAUUGGUAUCUCCAUUAAAUAGGCAAGCUUCCUACUGUCUUUCUUCCUUUUCACUCAUUUUCAACCUUCAGUUCUUCUUUCCUUUUUUUUUUCUUUUUUUUCUUUUUUCUUUUUAUUUAUUUCUUUUUUUUUUUUGUCUUUGAUUUUGUGGAAUUAAUAUUAUAUUCCUAAGAAUAUUACAUUUAUACAAAUAAAUGAUAAUCCACCAACGUUUCUACCAUCAAUAAAUCAUAGCAAUUAAUACACUUUAUUUCAUUUCUAGAAAAUAUAUAUACUUAAUUGGUAAUGUUUAUAUUAUGUUUUUUUUUAUAUUUUUUUAAGACCUUUUGCAAAAGAAUAUGAAAUUUUGACAAACUUAUAAUUUUUGACAAUUAUCCUUUUAUUUAUUAAAAAAAAAAAAUCUUUUUGUUUAUGUUUUUUAAUUUUCAAUUUUCUUUCCUCGUAUUAAAAACAAAUUUCUAUUAAAAAACUAAAAAAGGAGUUUAAAAACAAAUUUCUAUUAAAAAAACUAAAAAAGUUGAAUUAGUUACAAAACGCACGGUUUUUAAAAAAUUAAUUUUCAAAAACAAAUAAAUUACCAAACAUGCUCUAAUUUUUUAAAAAAAAUUGUUAAAAAUAUUUAUUGAUUAGUUGUCAAAGUGAGGUGGGAUUUGAAUUUUGUUAACAUUCUAUGAAAGACUAAAAGGCAUAAAAAUUUCUUUAUAAAGAUUUAGAACUCUAUACAACCACAUAUUAGUAAAGUCAAAGUCAAGACAUUAGACCCCAGCGAAAUUUAAUAAUAUCUAAUCGGUUCAAUUUUUAGAAUUAUGAUAAGGUUUAGAGUCCAAUUUUAGCAUCUUUACAAGUUUAAGAACUUAUCUAUCAUUAUUGAAACUUUAGUGAUUUAUCUGGUUCUCUCAAUCUGAGCGUUGUGUAUUGUUCGGUUGUUGGAUUGUGAAUCUAAUAAUCGCUCUUUGGAUAUAUUUCACCUUCGUGGGGCGCACAAUAACAAACCAUUACAGGAGUCCACUGAAAUCCCAUGUUUUGGCAAAGAAAAUUCAAGAGAUUCAAAGGGAACCCGAGGCGGAUUUGGGCGCAAAUCGAUGAAAUCGAAUUUAGGAGAAAGAGGGUACUGACGGGGAAAGAAGAUGCCUGAAGGAGUAGGGGAUGAGAAAUGGUUCGACGAUGAGAGAAAUCGGGAUCGGAAAUUAGGGAAAGCCAUCGUUUAGAGACGGAUUUGAGAAUUCGUUGGUGGGUUGGGGAUGGAAAUUAGAGAUUUGAGUACAAGAAGAGAUAUUAUCAAAUUAGUAUUGAUAACAAAACAAAAAAAAAUAUAUGUAUC
rnacentral:lncRNA from 1 species